GUCGAACGGCAGCACGGGUGCUUGCACCUGGUGGCGAGUGGCGAACGGGUGAGUAAUACAUCGGAACAUGUCCUGUAGUGGGGGAUAGCCCGGCGAAAGCCGGAUUAAUACCGCAUACGAUCCACGGAUGAAAGCGGGGGACCUUCGGGCCUCGCGCUAUAGGGUUGGCCGAUGGCUGAUUAGCUAGUUGGUGGGGUAAAGGCCUACCAAGGCGACGAUCAGUAGCUGGUCUGAGAGGACGACCAGCCACACUGGGACUGAGACACGGCCCAGACUCCUACGGGAGGCAGCAGUGGGGAAUUUUGGACAAUGGGCGAAAGCCUGAUCCAGCAAUGCCGCGUGUGUG
rnacentral:rRNA from 1 species